rnacentral:tRNA from 1 species
UCUCUGGUGGUCUAGUGGUUAGGAUUUGGUGCUUUUAUUGCUGUGGCCCAGGUUCAGGCCCUGGUCUGGGAA